ACUGCUCAGUAACACGUCGGUAACCUGCCCUGUGGUCGAGCAUAACCUCGGGAAACUGAGGGUAAUUCUCGAUAGGAGAUUUGGGCCUGGAAUGGUAUUUCUCCCAAACACGUGCCAUAGGAUGGGCCGGCGGCUGAUUAGGCUGUUGGUGGGGUAACGGCCCACCAAACCAAAGAUCAGUAUGGGCCUUGAGAGAGGUAGCCCAGAGAGGGACACUGAGAUACGGGUCCCAGCCCCACGGGGUGCAGCAGGCGCGAAACCUUUACAAUGCACGAAAGUGUGAUAGGGGGAUACUCAGUGCUUACGGCUCUGCUGUAGGCUUUUGUCGAUCGUAAACAGAUCGGCGAAUAAGUGGUGGGUAAGACCGGUGCCAGCCGCCGCGGUAACCCCGGCGCCACAAGUGGUCAUCGCGAUUAUUGGGCCUAAAGCGUUCGUAGCCGGCUUGGUAAAUCUCUUGUGAAAUUGUUCGGCUUAACCGGACAGCGCGCAGGAGACACUGCCAUGCUCGAGACCGGGAGGCGUAAGAAGUAUUCCAUGGGGACUGGUAAAAUGGGAUAAUCCAUGGAAGACUACCGAUGGCGAAGGCAUCUUACGAGAACGGAUCUGACGGUGAGGAACGAAAGCCAGGGGAGCGAACCGGAUUAGAUACCCGAGUAGUCCUGGCCGUAAACGCUGUGAGCUAGGUGCUGCGUAUCUCAUGAAGAUGCGCGGUGUCGAAAUGAAGAUGCUAAGCUCACCGCCUGGGAAGUACGGUCGCAAGACUGAAACUUUAAGGAAUUGGCGGGGGAGCA
rnacentral:rRNA from 1 species